UACAAAUGAAAGUCGGAAACAAAUAAUAUAAUUUAAAUGAUUUAUUCAAGUUUGCAAUAUUUUGAACAGGCAUCUACACAGUCACCUACUUUGUAAUGUUCGAUACCUCCCUGUAAGCGUCACGAUAUCGACCUCUCCCCCACAACCUCACAUACGAAUACUGAAUGUGCAUCAAAGUGAUCCUAUGGAGGAAGAUAUAGCAAAAGAUGAACGUAAACGACAAACGAGGCGAUCGGCAUGUUUCUUUCCUGUUAAGUCAACAAUGGGUCCUCAAUGUACACGCCCCGGAUUCCUAUGACGAAAAUAAUAGAAUGUCGCCAGUUGUCAUGACUCAACUUGUACUGCAACACCUGUACAACAUAGCCAUGUUAAAGCUUAUUAUCUGAUUACCAGCUCUGCGCAGCGGACUUGUAACACUAGCAGCAGUGGAGAUGGAGCAGCAUUAGAGUCUGGAGGCUUCUACUCUUCUGAAGAAGAAGAAUACAGCAACAAGGAUCCAUUUGAAGAUAGAUUUCACAGCUGCCUGGGCCUAGCAGCAACAAGAACCUCCAUUUGUCCCUGCCCCCAGGUCAAGAUCUACCGUGGCUCAAGGGCCUUCACCA